GAUCCUACUCCAACAGAGUUUACACUUUCUGGCAAUGGCUGUAGGGAUGUUGGCUUGCGAGCGUGGACAGAUGGAAUCUGUGAUUUUCCCCAGAGAAGUUCACCUGAUGUUGUGCAGGCCAAUGUUUCAAUUAACAGCACUGUUAAUGCUAGUUCAAAUGGAACUUCACCACAGAAUCAAAAGAAAAGAAAAUUAUCUGGUAUUCGACUGGAAUCAACUUGUCCAACAGUAUCUGAUGUGUCUGAGGUACCUAUAAAUGCAGGUAUCUCAGCAUCAGCUGUAGAAGUGCCCUCCAAUUGUGGCUAUGAUCUGAUGCAACCAGAACCAG
rnacentral:misc_RNA from 1 species